AUUAGAUUAAUUAAUUCACGGACCGGAUUUAAUUAAUUGGAUUAAUUAAUUAUUGGACCGGACCGGGCCGAGCCUGUUUGGGUUUAUAUAAAUACAUAACUAGGGUUUGAGGUCCAUUAAGGUUUUCAUUAUUCUUGCUAGCACAAGAGAAAACCCUAGAGGCUGCAAUCAAAUUCUCUGUGUGGAUCACCGUUGGAGGCUGGACAAUUGGACAGCUGUGGUGGCGAAUCAAAGUUGUGGAACGAAAAGAAAAGCAAAAGGAUUGCAGAUCUGGAAAAGGUACAAUCUUAUCACAAUUCCUAACCAAACACAAUGAGAUCUAUUGGAUGGGAAUCGAAAUAUAUUUUAAAUUCCGCUGUGCAUGUAUAAGUAGAUUCCCAACAGUA
rnacentral:lncRNA from 1 species